AGAGUUUGAUCCUGGCUCAGGAUGAACGCUGGCUGUGUGCCUAAUACAUGCAUGUUGAACGAAGCUAAAAGUGCUUGCACUUUAAGACUUAGUAGCGAAUGGGUGAGUAACACGUACUUAACCUACCCCCAAGUUUGGGAUAACGUUUGGAAACGAACGCUAAUACCGAAUACGUAUUUUUAUCGCAUGAUAGAAAUAUAAAAGGAGCUUCGGCUUCGCUAGGGGAUGGGAGUGCGCUACAUUAGUUAGUUGGUAGGGUAAUGGCCUACCAAGACUAUGAUGUAUAGCGGGGCCGAGAGGCUGAUCCGCCACACUGGGACUGAGAUACGGCCCAGACUCCUACGGGAGGCAGCAGUAGGGAAUUUUCCACAAUGAACGAAAGUUUGAUGGAGCGACACAGCGUGCAGGAUGAAGGUCUUCGGAUCGUAAACUGCUGUUAUAAGGGAAGAAAAACUUUAGUAGGUAAUGACUAGAACUUGACGGUACCUUAUCAGAAAGCGAUGGCUAACUAUGUGCCAGCAGCCGCGGUAAU
rnacentral:rRNA from 1 species